CCUCGAAUCAGGUAGGAAUACCCGCUGAACUUAAGCAUAUCAAUAAGC
rnacentral:rRNA from 3 species